GACGAACGCUGGCGGCGUGCUCAACACAUGCAAGUCGAACGGAAAGGCCCUGCGUUUGUGGGGUGCUCGAGUGGCGAACGGGUGAGUAACACGUGAGUAACCUGCCCUUGACUUUGGGAUAACUUCAGGAAACUGGGGCUAAUACCGGAGAGGAGCGCCUGCUGCAUGGUGGGGGCUGGAAAGUUUCGGCGGUUGGGGAUGGACUCGCGGCUUAUCAGCUUGUUGGUGGGGUAGUGGCUUACCAAGGCUUUGACGGGUGGCCGGCCUGAGAGGGUGACCGGCCACAUUGGGACUGAGAUACGGCCCAGACUCCUACGGGAGGCAGCAGUGGGGAAUAUUGCACAAUGGGCGGAAGCCUGAUGCAGCAACGCCGCGUGCGGGAUGACGGCCUUCGGGUUGUAAACCGCUUUCGCCUGUGACGAAGCGUGAGUGACGGUAAUGGGUAAAGAAGCACCGGCUAACUACGUG
rnacentral:rRNA from 1 species